AGGCGAUGAAGAAAGAAAUCAUUUCUCGAUGCUGAGAUAAUGGACCUUCGUUUAUUUCUGAUGACCUGUUUUUAUGCGUGUCUGAGCCUU
rnacentral:snoRNA from 1 species